rnacentral:rRNA from 1 species
AGUGAACGCUGGCGGUAGGCCUAACACAUGCAAGUCGAACGGCAGCACAGUAAGAGCUUGCUCCUACGGGUGGCGAGUGGCGGACGGGUGAGGAAUACAUCGGAAUCUACUUUUUCGUGGGGGAUAACGUAGGGAAACUUACGCUAAUACCUCAUACGACCUAAGGGUGAAAGCAGGGGAUCUUCGGACCUUGCGCGAUUGAAUGAGCCGAUGUCGGAUUAGCUAGUUGGCGGGGUAAAGGCCCACCAAGGCGACGAUCCGUAGCUGGUCUGAGAGGAUGAUCAGCCACACUGGAACUGAGAAACGGUCCAGACUCCUACGGGAGGAAGCAGUGGGGAAUAUUGGACAAUGGGCGCAAGCCUGAUCCAGACAUACCGCGUGGGUGAAGAAGGCCUUCGGGUUGUAAAGCCCUUUUGUUGGGAAAGAAAAGCAGCAGGUUAAUAACCCGCUGUUCUGACGGUACCCAAAGAAUAAGCACCGGCUAACUUCGUG